UGGGGAAUAUUGGACAAUGGGCGAAAGCCUGAUCCAGCCAUGCCGCGUGUGUGAAGAAGGUCUUCGGAUUGUAAAGCACUUUAAGUUGGGAGGAAGGGCAGUAAGCGAAUACCUUGCUGUUUUGACGUUACCGACAGAAUAAGCACCGGCUAACUCUGUGCCAGCAGCCGCGGUAAUACAGAGGGUGCAAGCGUUAAUCGGAAUUACUGGGCGUAAAGCGCGCGUAGGUGGUUCGUUAAGUUGAAUGUGAAAGCCCCGGGCUCAACCUGGGAACUGCAUCCAAAACUGGCGAGCUAGGGUAGGGCAGAGGGUGGUGGAAUUUACUGUGUAGAGGUGAAAUGCGUAGAUAUAGGAAGGAACACCAGUGGGGAAGGCGACCACCUGGGAUAAUACUGACACUGAGGUGCGAAAGCGUGGGGAGCAAACAGG
rnacentral:rRNA from 1 species